GCGUGGCAGCGCAGCACCACGGCCUUGUGGCGCGCCUGGUGGCGGUAGACCCAGGCGAAGACGCGCGGGUGGCGCCCGUCCGCUGUGCAGUAGGUGAUGCGCGGCAGCAGUAAAUAUUCACUAAGAGCCUACUACGUGCCAGGCCCUGUGCUGGGGCCUCUGAGGCAAACAGGACGUGAUUCAGGAUGUGAUCCUCAUUCUCCAAUCCAGAACCUUACAGAGGAGAUUUGAGCCUGAAUUUCAUCUGCAGUCCUCUCUAGCACAUGGGUUUGUUAUCUCUCUUCCAGUCCUGACAGGUGAUGGUCACACGGUUUGGUGACUUUUCAGCAGUUUCUUUUACUCUGACAUGCCUCUGCUCAAAAGCUCCGUGCUGCUUACAGAAGAGAGUCCGGACUCCACAGUUCCUGGAACCUAAGUUUUUUGAUACAAAUUUAUUGAAAUAUUGAAAGGACCGCCAUGAUCUUGCUCUAAUGUGUCUUUUCAGCCUUUUUCCCCACUACCUCUCCCUGACCCUGGUGGAAUCUAUUUUUCUGUAACUCAACUGGUGCAUUUUUUAGGAACCUCACGUUAUCAAACUGUGUUGUUUAAUAAUAAUUGUUUCAAUAGAAAAAUAAUAAAGGCUAGAGUGUUUCAGUUUUGGGUUUUUUUUUUUGUUAAUUAAUUAAUUUAUUGGCUGCUUUGGGUCUUCGUUGCUGUGCGCGGGCCUUCUCUAGUUGCAGCGAGUGAGGGCUACUCUUCAUUGCGGUGUGCGGGCUUCUCAUUGCAGUGGCUUCUCUUGUGGUGGAUCACGGGCUCUAGGCGCGUGGGCUUCAGUAGUUGUGGUACGCGGGCUCAGUAGCUGUGGCUCACAGGCUGUAAAGCGCAGGCUCAGUAGUUGUGGUGCAUGGGCUUAGUUGCUCCGCAGCAUGUGGGAUCUUCCUGGACCAGGGCUUGAACCAGUGUCCCCUGCAUUGGCAGGUGGAUUCUUAACCACUGUGCCACCAGGGAAGUCCCAAGAAUGUUUCAGUUUUUAAACACUGAGAGUUGUCUUUGGCUGCUCAUCAGACCCUCCUCUCUUCCAGUCCCAAUCUCCAGCCUCUAGACCACAAGGGUGAGCACACGUCCCAGAUUGGGCAACCAUAUUAUCCUAUCUCUUGGCCACAGUGAUUGGUCCAGGCAAAGACAUAUGACCCAAGACAGCCAAUGUGAGGUCUUCCCUGAGAUUUUUCCCUUGUCGUCCACCUGCCUCCCCACCCUGCCCCAGUUCUUUUUGCACGAUGAAGAGCUUAACCUGAUACUUCUUGCAACUAUGAUCUAAUGGAAAGGAGAAAGACUAAUGGUGCUAGGAGAGACUGAAGCAAACCGGCAGAGGAAAGCAAAGGAGGGGAGGAGGGAGAGGGGAAGGGGAGAAAAGAAGAGAAUGAAUAAAUACCGAUGAAUUUGAGCCCUGGAUCCAUGUGUCCUAGAGGCCAGCUUCACCACUAUGCUUUUCCUACUUAGAAUAUUGGGUCUAUAAUUCUUCCGUUUUGGCUUAAGCUAGUUUGCGUUGGGUCUGGCUAGGACUACAACAAGGCAAGCUUGCUUGUAUGCUCCAGAGAAUGAGUGUCCUUAAAUUUGUACCCUAGACUCCUCACUGCCUAGUCUUGGCCUGAGUUAAGUUUCAAUGACUUGUAACUGAAUGAAUUCUUGGCUAAUAAAAACUCUGCUUAUAUUUUGUAAUUGCAAGUUAGAAACAUAUUAGUUUCUAUUUGAUCAACGUAUGAGUUGAUCAAAUUAGCCAAAUACAUUUAAAUAUUAAUGAGAAUAUCCUGAAGAACACAGACAACUGGGUCAAAGCCAGUGGAUUUCUAGGCUAAGAAAGUAAUCUGUAGCCCAUUUCACAACUGCUAACCACUGGCUUGGUUAUAACAGAAGCUGUGAAUUAGAAAACAUGAUUGUAUUGGUUAUAACUCGGUCAUAUAUCAUUUGUAACCUUCUCAGAGCUCCUGUCACUCUGACUUGUCUUAUGGCUGGUAGAAUGGACGCUGAGAAUUCAUUCCUCAUUCCUCGGGUAACAGUGCCUAGAACAGUGCUUGUUGCAUGGAAGGCACUCAGUUGGUAUUUGUUGGAUUGAACUGAACAGCACUUGAUCUCUGGACACCUCUCUCCUCAUACACGUCUAAUAGCGGGUAUGUCACUUCUAGGCUAGUCAGUGCUUUUCCUCCCCUGGCUUCAGUGAUUAGCUCAGGGAUGGAUACACGACCCAAGGCAGUCCAUGAGACUCAGAUUCCUGGACUUUUCUUGAAACUAGUGGGAACGAAAAGUCCUCUUCCACUGGGGUUGCAAAGCUAUGAGGAUGUGGUUCUGGGGAUCCCAGUGGCCAUUUUAUGACCUGGAGAAUGACUGUCAAAGAAUGGAACUAACAGAGGAAUGAGACAGAGAAAGGUGAGUACUAAUUACAUUGAUUUGAGUCCCUGUGGGGUGGGGGGGGCAGCUGUGGCUCACUCUGGGGACAUAGACACUGGCAGCAGCCAUAUUUGAGAGCUUUGGUCACUGCUGCCCACAUCUUAGGAUCCUCCCUCUAGUUCUUUAGUGCCAAGACCUGACCCCACCCAACAGCCUGUGGGCACCAAUGCUGAGACUCCUCAGGCCAAACAACUAACUGGGCAGGGACACAGCCCCUCCCAUCAGCAGACAGGCUGCCUAAAGACCUCCUGAGCCAACAGUCACCUCUAGACACCGCCCCCUAGACAGUUUGCCCGCCAGACACUCUGCCCCCCAGAGGGCCAAGACCCAGCUCCACCCACCAGUGGGCAGGCACAGGCCCUGCCCUCCAGGAAGCCUGCACUAGCCUCUAGACCAGCCUCACCCACCAGGGAGCAGACACUGGACAGUAGAAAACCAUGAUCCCACAGCCCGUGAUACCCACCCUGGGACUAGUUGGGCCCCAGCCCUGCCCACUAGCAGCCAACGCAAGCUUUGGGACACCCCGGACCACAUACUCAGUUGUGUCAGGAACUGGUCCCCCUCCCGCCAGUGAUCUGACACAAUCUCUGGGAUCCCUGGGCCCUGCGGCCAGACUCCAGGACCCAGCUCUGCCUGCCAGUAGUUUAGCACUAACCCUGGGACCUGGCUUCACCCACCAGUGUGUGGGCAACAGCCCCGGAAUCUUUGGAACCCUGACUCCACCCACCAGUGAGGCAGCACUAGCCCUGGGGUCCUCCAGGGUUCUGCAGCCAGGUUCCUCAUGACCAGGGCCCACUAACCAGCAGCCAGCAGCAUCUGUACAAGGCAGGGCUUGGCAACCAGCAGGGCUACGGGCCAACCAAGCCUACCAGACUGUCCACACAGUCAGCCCUCCACAAAAGGACCCAUGCAGCCCUCUCAGGGGGAACCCCUAGAGCAUGUAGCUUGGGUGAUGAGAGGGACACAUAGGACAUCUCCUACAAAGGGCCACUUCUCCAAAGUCUAGAGACAUAACUAACCUACCACAUACGUAAAAAUACAAAUAGCAACUUAGACAAAAUGAGGUGACAGAGGAAUAUGUUCCAGACAAAGGAACAAGAUAAAACCCCAGAAGAAGGACUAAGUGAAGUGGAGAUAGGCAACCUACCUGAGAAAGAGUUCAGAGUAAUGAUCAUAAAGAUGAUCAAAGAACUUGGGAGGACAAUGGAUGCACAAAGUGAGAAGUUAGAAGUUUUAAACAAAGAGUUAGAAAAUAUACAGAACAACCAGAAAUGAAGAAUAUAGUAACUGAAGAUUACACUAGAAGGAAUCGACAGACUAAAUGAUAUAGAGGAACAGAUCAGUGAGCUGGAAGACAGAGUUGGGGAAAUCACUGUCACUGAACAGAAAAAAGAAAAAAGAAUGAAAUGAGGACAGUUUAAGAGACCUCGGGGACAACAUCAAAUGCACUAAUAUUUGCAUUAUAGGGAUCCCAGAAGGAGAAGAGAGAGAGAAAGGGCCUGAGAACAUAUUUGAAGAUAUAAUAGUGGAAAACUUCCCUAGCCUGGGAAAGGAAAAAGUCACCCAAGUCCAGGAAGCACAGAGAGUUCCAUACAGGAUUAACCCCAAAAGGAGCACACACCAAGACACACUGUAAUGAAAAUGACAAAAGUUAAAGAAAAAGAGAGACUAUUAAAAGCAGCAAAGGAAAAGCUACGAAUAACAUACAAGGGAACUCCCAUAGGACUAUCAGCUGACUUUCAGAAAUUCUGCAGGCCAGAGGGAGUGGAACAACAUCUUUAAAGUGAUUUGAGUCCCUGCAUCCAGCCAACCCUGAGCUUUUCAGUCAUUUGAACAAGCAUAUUCUAUUUCUUCUUAACUGUAUUAGAUUUGGGCUUUUGCACUUGUCUCUGAAAGAGCCCUCAUUAAUGCAGUUAGUUUUUAAAAUCUGUUCGUUUUUAAGAUGCUCUUGGUGGUGGUACUUACCAAUGCCAGUUCACUGGGAUUACACAAUGAGGCUUACUAUCUCAGUGACAAGAAGUUCAGGGAUGAAGUGCCUUCAGGCGCAGUUUGAUUAAAGCUCUGGCUCCACCUCUCUAUGAUUCUCUUAGCCUUGCCCUUCUCCAUGUAUUGGUCUUGGUGGCAGCAAGAUGGCUUUGACAGUUGCAUUACCUACAGAUGUAUUUGUCAGAGGAAGAAAAGGGACCAUGUCUUUGCUUCUUAAGAGAGGAUUUCCCCGGGGGCUUCCCUGGUGGCGCAGUGGUUGAGAGGGCGCCUGCCGAUGCAGGGGACACGGGUUCAUGCCCCGGACUGGGAAGAUCCCACAUGCAGCGGAGCGGCUGGGCCCGUGAGCCAUGGCCGCUGAGCCUGUGCGUCCGGAGCCUGUGCUUCGCAACGGGAGAGACCACAACAGUGAGAGGUCCGCGUACCGCAAAAAAAAAAAAGAAAAAGAAAAGAGAAGACUUCCCCGAAGUCCCUCAGCAGACCUUCCAUCCAGCUCAUUGGUCAGAACUGGAUCACAUGCUCAUUCCCAAGCCAAUCCCUGGCAAGGGCAAUGGGACCACCAUGAUUGGCUGGGGCUGAGGCCAAAGGUUUGCCUCCCUGCAGCACAGGGUCCCACAGCGGGUCCUACAUUUACCCCUUCCUCUCCAGCAUCUACAGUCUGUUUUCUUUUCGAGUUCCACCCUAUCUGUCCACACAGAGACAACUCCCUCCCAUCUUAAGGAAAAGCUCUUCAUUCGACCUUGCACCCUUUCUAGCCACCAUGUUUCUCUCCUGACUUCCAUGAAAAUUAGGUGGGCUCACGGUUGACAGAACUCAAAGGAAGUUACUGAGGUGUACAGAAGGGCUCUAUAUUCAGCAUCUUCCUCAAAAUGGACAGAGGCUCAAGAAGGUAGAACCAGGGCCGAGGAGGUGAAGUGUCAGAGAUACAAGAUGGCAGUAGACUCCCUGUGAGGUGAUGACUUCACCAGGGGAACUAUUCAAGCAAAGGCUGGAUGACCCUCUCUGGGUCAAUGUAGAGAGCUUCUCCUAUUGGGAGUGAGUUUGGAUUGAGUCUGUUCAUUCAUUCAUUUAUUUAUUCAACAAAUAUUUAUUGAGCACCUACUGUAUGCCAGGUACUGGGCUAAAUACUGAGGAUGCAGCAGUUAACAAGACAGAAACACUCCUGGGGUCACUGAGCUUAGGGGUUAGCAGGGGAGAUGGACCUUAAGUGAAUAAUUAUACACAUAAAAAUAUAGUUACAGGUAUUGUAUAUUGUUACAGGUAUUACACCCUCAAAGUCCCUUCGAAUCAAAGAUUUAUGAUUUUUACGUAUAAUGCUUAGCUCAGUGCCUGGCACAUAGUAGGUGUUCAGUAAGUGUUAACUACUGUAGGUAUUCCCUAACCUUGGAGCCUACGGCAAUGUUUCCUCCUCCAAACCUCUGUAUUAUUUAUGUCUGAGUGGUACUCAUUUGCCAUUCAGACAUACUUUUAUUAUUAAACUUUGAAUUUGUUUAUCUGGUGACUACAGUAAACAUUUUUCCCCCAGAAACUAUAAUAUUAACCUACUAAAUGAUGCUGAACAGAUUCAACUGGUUACAAAACAAGAAUUGUUCACAUUCAUCCACUUCCUUGCCUAUCUUUUGCAAGCCAAGAACACAAAUAAUAAUUAAAAGGAGAAGAAUUCCUAAUAUAUCUACAGCACUUUCCCGCACAUCAGCUUAUCUGGGCCGACAGCAGUCCCGUGCAGAGAGCAGGAAUAUUAUCCCCCCUUUCCAGCUGAGAAAACUAAGGCUUAGAAUAUCAGUUUUCCAGUACCUGGGGAGGAGAGUGCUGCUUCUUCCAGUUCUCAAGCAGCUUGAAUAGAAUCCCUGCUAAAAGACACCUGGGAAUCAUCUACUUCUCUCUUCCCACUUUACAGAUGAGAAACUGAGACUCAGGAAGGUGCUGGGACUUGACAGUAAUCACGUGGCUAGUAAAUGUCAGAGCUGAUGUAGGACUCAGGACAGCUGACUGCCAAGCCCGUCCUAAUUCACCCUUUCCUAAUACACAGCGUGCUGGUCCUUCCCACUGAC